CCUACGUGCGGCAGCAGUGGGGAAUAUUGGACAAUGGGCGAAAGCCUGAUCCAGCCAUGCCGCGUGUGUGAAGAAGGCCUUCGGGUUGUAAAGCACUUUCAGUGGGGAAGAAAGCCUUGGGGCUAAUACCCUCGAGGAAGGACAUCACCCACAGAAGAAGCACCGGCUAACUCCGUGCCAGCAGCCGCGGUAAUACGGAGGGUGCGAGCGUUAAUCGGAAUUACUGGGCGUAAAGCGCGCGUAGGCGGUCUGAUAAGCCGGUUGUGAAAGCCCCGGGCUCAACCUGGGAACGGCAUCCGGAACUGUCAGGCUAGAGUGCAGGAGAGGAAGGUAGAAUUCCCGGUGUAGCGGUGAAAUGCGUAGAGAUCGGGAGGAAUAACAGUGGCGAAGGCGGCCUUCUGGACUGACACUGACGCUGAGGUGCGAAAGCGUGGGUAGCAAACAGGAUUAGAUACCCCAGUAGUC
rnacentral:rRNA from 1 species